rnacentral:rRNA from 1 species
GACGAACGCUGGCGGCGUGCUUACCACAUGCAAGUCGAACGAAGUGGCGAACGGGUGAGUAAAGCGUAAUCAACCUGCCCUUCAGAGGGGGACAACAGUUGGCAACGACUGCUAAUACCGCAUACUGAAGGAGGGGAUUGCGUCUGAUUAGAUAGUUGGAGGGGUAACGGCCAACCAAGGCGAUGACCAGUAGCAGGUCUGAUGGGAUGAACGGCAAAAUUGGGACUGAGACACGGCCCAGACUCCUACGGGAGGCAGCAGUGGGGAAUCUUCCGCAGUGGACGAAAGUCUGACGGAGCAACGCCGCGUGAGUGAUGACGGCCUUCGGGUUGUAAAGCUCUGUUAAUCGGGACGCGGUACCGGAAUAGAAAGCCACGGCUAACUACGUGACAGCAACCGCGGUAAUUC